rnacentral:tRNA from 1 species
GGUGGCUCAAUGAUAAGAGUGCUUGCCUAGCAUGCAUGAGGGCCUGGGUUCGAUUCCUCAGCACCA